AACGAACGCUGGCGGCAGGCUUAACACAUGCAAGUCGAACGGUCUCUUCGGAGGCAGUGGCAGACGGGUGAGUAACGCGUGUGAAUCUACCUAGUUCUACGGAACAACAGUUGGAAACGACUGCUAAUACCGUAUACGCCCUAUGGGGGAAAGAUUUAUCGGAAUUAGAUGAGCCCGCGUAAGAUUAGCUAGUUGGUGAGGUAAUGGCUCACCAAGGCGACGAUCUUUAGCUGGUCUGAGAGGAUGAUCAGCCACACUGGGACUGAGACACGGCCCAGACUCCUACGGGAGGCAGCAGUGGGGAAUAUUGGACAAUGGGCGCAAGCCUAAUCCAGCCAUGCCGCGUGAGUGAUGAAGGCCUUAGGGUUGUAAAGCUCUUUCACCGAUGAAGAUAAUGACGGUAGUCGGAGAAGAAGCCCCGGCUAACUUCGUGCCAGCCGCCGCAGUAACAC
rnacentral:rRNA from 1 species